rnacentral:tRNA from 1 species
GCCCUCGUAGCUCAGUAGGAUAGAGCGUCGGUUUCCUAAACCGCAGGCCACAGGUUCGACUCCUGUCGAGGGUA